CCCUUAGACGUUCUGGGCCGCACGCGCGCUACACUGACCAGUGCAACAAGCAUCCGUCCUUGGCCGACAGGCUCGGGCAAUCUUUGAACGCUGGUCGUGAUGGGGAUAGACUUUUGCAAUUUUUGGUCUUCAACGAGGAAUUCCUAGUAAACGCAAGUCAUCAACUUGCAUUGAUUGCGUCCCUGCCCUUUGUACACACCGCCCGUCGCACCUACCGAUUGAAUGGUCCGGUGAAGCCUCCGGAUUGGCGCGCACCUCGGUGCCGCCGAGAAGUUGGCUAAACCUUNCNAUUUAUNGGAAGGUGAANUCGUANCA
rnacentral:rRNA from 1 species